GGGUUGUAAACUUCUUUUAUUAGGGACGAUAAUGACGGUACCUAUUGAAUAAGCUCCGGCUAACUACGUGCCAGCAGCCGCGGUAAUACGUAGGGAGCAAGCGUUAUCCGGAUUUACUGGGUGUAAAGGGCGUGUAGGCGGGACUGCAAGUCAGAUGUGAAAACUAUGGGCUCAACUCAUAGCCUGCAUUUGAAACUGCAGUUCUUGAGUGCUGGAGAGGCAAAUGGAACUCCUAGUGUAGCGGUGAAAUGCGUAGAUAUUAGGAAGAACACCAGUGGCGAAGGCGAUUUGCUGGACAGUAACUGACGCUGAGGCGCGAAAGUGUGGGGAGCAAACAGGAUUAGAUACCCUGGUAGUCCACACCGUAAACGAUGGAUACUAGGUGUGGGGGGUCUAACCCCCUCCGUGCCGCAGUUAACACAUUAAGUAUCCCACCUGGGGAGUA
rnacentral:rRNA from 1 species